rnacentral:rRNA from 1 species
UGCAGAGGGGGCAAGCGUUAUUCGGAAUUAUUGGGCGUAAAGGGCGCGUAGGCGGCUUGGCAAGUGGAUGGUGAAAUCCCUCGGCUUAACCGAGGAACUGCCGUCCAAACUGCUUCGCUUGAGACCGGGAGAGGUGAGUGGAAUUCCCAGUGUAGCGGUGAAAUGCGUAGAUAUUGGGAGGAACACCAGUGGCGAAGGCGGCUCACUGGACCGGUACUGACGCUGAUGCGCGAAAGCGUGGGGAGCAAACGGG